rnacentral:rRNA from 1 species
GCAGCAGGGUUGUAGCAAUACAAUCGCUGGCGACCGGCAAACUGGUGCGGAACACGUACACAACCUUCCUUUAAGUGGGGGAUAGCCCAGGGAAACUUGGAUUAAUACCCCGUAAUAUAUAGAAGUGGCAUCACUUUUAUAUUAUAGCAGCAAUGCGCUUGAAGAUGGGUGUGCGGCUGAUUAGAUAGUUGGCGGGGUAACGGCCCACCAAGUCGACGAUCAGUAACUGGUGUGAGAGCACGACCAGUCACACGGGCACUGAGACACGGGCCCGACUCCUACGGGAGGCAGCAGUAAGGAAUAUUGGUCAAUGGACGCAAGUCUGAACCAGCCAUGCCGCGUGGAGGAUGAAGGUCCUCUGGAUUGUAAACUUCUUUUAUCUGGGAAGAAAUCCACUUUUUCUAAGGUGGUUGACGGUACCAGAUGAAUAAGCACCGGCUAACUCCGUGCCAGCAGCCGCGGUAAUACGGAGGGUGCAAGCGUUA